rnacentral:rRNA from 1 species
AUUGAACGCUGGCGGCAGGCCUAACACAUGCAAGUCGAGCGGUAGAGAGGUGCUUGCACCUCUUGAGAGCGGCGGACGGGUGAGUAAUGCCUAGGAAUCUGCCUGGUAGUAGGGGGAUAACGCUCGGAAACGGACGCUAAUACCGCAUACGUCCUACGGGAGAAAGCAGGGGACCUUCGGGCCUUGCGCUAUCAGAUGAG